rnacentral:rRNA from 1 species
UACGUAGGGGGCGAGCGUUGUCCGGAUUUAUUGGGCGUAAAGAGCGUGUAGGCGGCCAGGUAGGUCUGCUGUGAAAACUCGAGGCUCAACCUCGAGACGUCGGCGGAAACCAUCUGGCUAGAGUCCGGAAGAGGAGAGUGGAAUUCCUGGUGUAGCGGUGAAAUGCGCAGAUAGCAGGAAGAACACCCGUGGCGAAGGCGGCUCUCUGGGACGGUACUGACGCUGAGACGCGAAAGCGUGGGGAGCGAACAGG